UACGAAGGGGGCUAGCGUUGUUCGGAAUUACUGGGCGUAAAGGGCGCGUAGGCGGUGUGUCAAGUCAGGCGUGAAAGCCCCGGGCUCAACCUGGGAACCGCGCUUGAGACUGGCACGCUCGAGUUCGGGAGAGGAUGGUGGAAUUCCCAGUGUAGAGGUGAAAUUCGUAGAUAUUGGGAAGAACACCGGAUGGCAAAGGCAGCCAUCUGGACCGAC
rnacentral:rRNA from 1 species